AUAGUGAAGGUUGGAGUGAACAGAUUUGGCCAUAUUGGGUGACUAGUUAUUAAGACUGUGAGCUCAUCUGGCAAAGUGGAAAAUGUUACCAUCAAUGAUGCCUUCAUGAACCUCAAAUGAAUCAUGACUCUCACCAUGGCAAGCUCAAUGGCACUGUCAAGGCUGAGAAGCUUGCCAUUAAGGGGAAGGCAAGCACCAUCUUCCAGGAGUGAGAUCCUGCUAACAUCAAAUGUGGUAAUGCUGGUGCUGAGCAUAAUGUGGUCUCUUCUGUUCUCUUCAACACCAUAGAGAAGGUCUGGGGCUACUGGAAGGGUCUGGCUAAAGGGGUUAUCUCUGCCCUUUCUGCAAAUGUCCCAUGUUUGAGAUGGAUAUGAAACACAGAAAGUAUAACAACUCACUUGACAUGGUCAGCAAUGCUUUCUGUUCUACCAACUGAUUAGCGCCCCUGGCCAAGGUCAUCUACAAAAACUUGACAUCAUGAAGCAACUCAUGAUUACAGUGCAUGUAAUCACUACCACUCAAAAGAGUGUGGAUAGACCCUCUGGAAAACUGUGACUUGAUAGCUGUGGGGUUGUCCAGAAUAUCAUCCCUGCAUCCCUUGUUGGGCAAAGUUAUUCCAAAACUGAACAGAAAGUUCCCUGGCAUGGUCUUUUUUGUUCUUUUCCCCCAUGUGUCUAUAGUGUAUCUGACAUGGUGCUUGAAGAAAGAUAUUGAGUAUGAUGAUAUCAAGAAGGUGGCAAAUUGGGCAUCUGAGGUCCCAAUAAAAGGUAUUCUGGCCUACACUGAGGACCAGGUUGUCUCCUGUGAUAUUAGCAUGACUCUUUUCUUCUAGAUUUGAUUCUGGGGCUGACAUUGAUCUUAAUGACAACUAUGUAAACCUCAUUUCAUGGUAUGAUAGUGAAUAUGGCUACAGCAACAGGGUGAUGGACCUCAUGACCUACAUGACCUUGAAGGAAUAA
rnacentral:lncRNA from 1 species